UACGGAGGAGGCAAGCGUUAUCCGGAAUUAUUGGGCGUAAAGCGUCCGCAGGUGGCACUUCAAGUCUGCUGUCAAAGACCGGGGCUUAACCCCAGAAAGGCAGUGGAAACUGAAGUGCUAGAGUGCAGUAGGGGUAGAGGGAAUUCCCGGUGUAGCGGUGAAAUGGCGUAGAGAUCGGGAAGAACAUCGGUGGCGAAAGCGCUCUGCUGGACUGCAACUGACACUCCAGGGACGAAAGCUAGGGGAGCGAAUGGG
rnacentral:rRNA from 1 species